UAGAGGAAAGGAAGUAUUAGUACAGAGGAUAGCCACUAGAGGAAAGGAAGUAUUAGUACAGAGGAUAGCCACUAGAAUGAAGUAGUACUGAGGAGAGAUUGGAAAGAGAGUAGCAGUGGUGAGAGUUACCACACAGUAUAUUAGCAGCCAAUCAAAGGGAACAGACAUGGAGGAGGAAGUUGUUAACUGUUGGGGAGGGAAAACUAGCCAUAGCAGGAAUAGGAGACUCAGCCUAUGGCUGUGCCCAUCCUAGAGGUACUUUUUUCUGGCACCUGAGUUUUUGAUCCAUGCUGUGUGUUUACUGGCAAGACAGUUGUUACCGAAAGGGUUUUAAAACUGUGCAAGCUGUAAGAUUUUAUACUGUUUUUGUUGUACAGAUUUUAUAUGCUGGACCUGAUCAUUGCCAUGGCACCGUAUGCAGAUGAACCCUCCAUGACUAAGAUCUAUCACACUAUUUUGCCAUAUCUUGAGGCUCUAAACAGACGGUGAACCUCAACAAGCAGUAUUUGUAUUUGGGCAGUUAUAAUAAAGCUUUAUUGUGUAUUUCACAGGAUAAAAAUCACAGUUUGCAGAAGAAAGCCUAUAGAGUUUUGGAGGAAAUAUGUGCAGGGGAACAGCCACCAUGCAAAGAAUUUGUAAACAACAAUCUGGAAGAAUUACAGAAAACACUCCUGACUUCCCUGAAAAGCACUUCAUCCUUUCAUCCCCUGGUAAACGGUAUGGAAGACAUUUUGGCUGAUUCUGAUGAAGUAGAGGAAGAGGAAGAGAAACCAACCAAACAACAAAAGAAACGGGCCCGGCAGAAGAGCCAGGCUUGGCUUAAAGAAGGGGAGGAAGAUGACCCAGUAAAUUUCCUUGAUCCCAAAGCUGCACAGCGUGUACUGGCUCUCGACAAAAGGCCAUGAUUCCCAGACCUGGAUGUAAUGGAGAAGAAGGGCACAUAACCUCCUUUGCAACCACAGACUGGCACAGAAAAAAUAUAUUUUGUAGCAGUUACCGUAAAAGAGAUGCUAUAAGAAUACAGCAAUUCAGUAAGUACCCCUUUUUCUUAAUUAAACAUUAUGAAUGCUGAAGGUUUGCUCUCAUUAUGUUCCAUGGUGUGUGCUGAGAAGCCAAAUAAUGUACCCGCUUGUGUUAUACUCACAGGGAUGCAUUGGGACAGUGAAUGCAAUAAAAGGAACAAGUAAUAUUUUUUCCUACAUUCCAAGUUUCUCUGUGUUUCUUUGGGUAUGGUGCUUUAAGGUCAAUGUGCUCCAUUAUUACAUUAUACGUUAUUGGUAAAAUACAUUUUUACAUUUUUUUUUUUUUUUUUUUUUACACUUGGUUUGUACAUGAGACAUAAACGUGUGACAUAAUGAAGAAUUCUCGCUUAUUGAGAGCUUAUAGCCAAAAAGUGAAAUAAUUCUAGAACCAUAAAAAAUGAUGACCAACUGCAAAUUAUUUCAGAAUAUCAUUGUCGACAUCAUACUAAAAUUAAAUUUUAAGACAAAUUAGCCCUUUAAAGUUAAUAUUAAAACAUAAAUCCCAAAUCUUAAAGACAAUUUUGACCUGAAUAAAUCUAAAACUCAAUAAAGACAAAUUGAGCCAAUGAAACACUUUACUCACAGUCGCACCAUUGGUUGAAUUAGCACAUGUUUGUACAUGUGAGCAGUAACGCCACGUCAAGGCUUCAACCCUGUUACCG